rnacentral:lncRNA from 1 species
CGCCUUCUUCCCUACAAAUCUUAACCAAAUCACGCACAGGAACAACAACACACGGCAUUGAUGUAAUGUGAUCAAUGAUGGCCAAUCGAACCUUUUUCCCAUUGGCUUUUCCCUUGGCCAAUGCUUUUCGAAACUCGGAAACAAUCUCUUCUUCCGAACGAAGAGGAAACGGCAAACGAACAACGAUGACAGAACCACCAGCACGGGUGACGUAAGCCUCAAUUGAUUUCUUAACGGCCUGAAAAGCGUAAUGCUUUUCGAAACUCGGCAACAAUCUCUUCUUCCGAACGAAGAGGAAACGGCAAACGAACAACGAUGACAGAACCACCAGCACGGGUGACGUAAGCCUCAAUUGAUUUCUUAACGGCCUGAAAAGCG